ensembl:lncRNA
CUCUCCAUGACCACAGCGAUGCUCCUCCACUGGUGCUCCGGUGAUGCUCCGUCGCUUCCUCAGGAGGAAUGAGGCCCACUGUGCCCGUGUGAGCUGACCCCUCCUGCAGGGCCCGUUUGUGACAUACGUGGACCUGUCAUUGUUACGUCAUAAUGCAGUGUUCCAUUCCCUCUCUCCGGCCUGCAGCACCGGAUGGAACUUUGGGUUAUCCGGAGCCCCUCCGUGCCGAGCACCGGGGCUGGGACAAACCCACCGCGCAGCCCCUCCCUGGCCGGUGGCCCUGGAGCUCCCGGGCUGGCUGCUGGAACUGCCCUGCCCUGGGGCUUUGCUCCUGCACGGACUGCUGAGGGCCAUGGCCCCGCUGCAGCAGCUCCAGAGGGCGGAAAAUGAAAGCAAACCAAAAGCAAACAGACACUGCUGGUUCUGCCCCUUUCCUGUUUGGCGACUUCUGUUGCAGGGCCUGCAGGGCUCCUGCUGGGCAGGGACACGCGUGGGCAGCAACACGCAGCAGUGGGACAGGGACAGCACUGCACGGAGCUUUGGCGUCGCCCAUCCCCGUGGGACCCGAGGAUGCUCCCAUUGCUGCGCCGGGCCUGGCUGUGCCUCGGAGCUCUGCUGGUUGCCCCCCAUCUCCUGGUGCAGACCAGACGCCCAGCAGGCAGAACAGUCCUUACCAUGUUGGAAGCACCGCUCAUCCCAGACACACCCAAGCACCUGACCAGCUCCUAGGAAGACCAUCAGCUCCAUCCCACCCAGCUCAGCUCACCGGGUCCAGCAGCAGCUCCUGGGAGCCCCUCUGCACUGAGGGCUGCAGAGCCAGAGCUGCUCAUCACAGCGCCUGUGGGACCAGGAACCACACAUGCACCAAG